rnacentral:tRNA from 1 species
AGUUUUAUAGUCAAAAAAUGAUAUUAAAUUGCAAAUUUAAAGUUAAAUUAAAUUUUUAAAACUU